rnacentral:rRNA from 1 species
AUUGAACGCUGGCGGAAUGCUUUACACAUGCAAGUCGAACGGCAGCACGGGGGCAACCCUGGUGGCGAGUGGCGAACGGGUGAGUAAUACAUCGGAACGUGCCCGGUCGUGGGGAUAACGUAGCGAAAGUUACGCUAAUACCGCAUACGAUCUGAGGAUGAAAGCGGGGGACCUUCGGGCCUCGCGCGAUCGGAGCGGCCGAUGUCAGAUUAGGUAGUUGGUGGGGUAAAGGCCUACCAAGCCGACGAUCUGUAGCUGGUCUGAGAGGACGACCAGCCACACUGGGACUGAGACACGGCCCAGACUCCUACGGGAGGCAGCAGUGGGGAAUUUUGGACAAUGGGCGCAAGCCUGAUCCAGCCAUUCCGCGUGCAGGACGAAGGCCUUCGGGUUGUAAACUGCUUUUGUAUGGAACGAAAAGGCUCUGGCUAAUACCUGGGGCUCAUGACGGUACCGUAAGAAUAAGCACCGGCUAACUACGUG